GUAUAGGGAAUUCGUGUGGUGAUUUGGUUUCAAAAUCGGUGCAUGAAAUGGAAACGAAAUAAAGUACCGUGAAAGGCCAAUUGAAAUUUUUGCCACAGGGAACUGCGGCUACGCCAGUAACAAUAGUACUAGAGGGCCUCGAUACAGCAGGCUGCACUGCACCCCCUACCUACAGAUCAACGAAGGGCUUACCGAAAACCUACUAUCAUCGACGGGUAGCCUUCCACCCAUUACGACAAAUUUUGUUGCUAGUUGCAAACUAAGGCUGCGUCACCACGCUACGCUUAAGCAGUCUCGGACCUCACAACCAAAAACUACUUACCUCGGUCUCUAAUCAAUUU